UACGUAGGGUGCGAGCGUUAAUCGGAAUUACUGGGCGUAAAGCGUGCGCAGGCGGCGCGUUAAGACAGGUGUGAAAGCCCCGAGCUUAACUUGGGAAUUGCGCUUGUGACUGGCGUGCUGGAGUGUGGCAGAGGGAGGUGGAAUUCCACGUGUAGCAGUGAAAUGCGUAGAGAUGUGGAGGAACACCGAUGGCGAAGGCACUUUACUGGGCUAUUACUAACACUCAGAGACGAAAGCUAGGGUAGCAAAUGGG
rnacentral:rRNA from 1 species